rnacentral:rRNA from 1 species
UACGGAGGGUGCAAGCGUUAUCCGGAUUCACUGGGUUUAAAGGGUGCGUAGGUGGGUUGGUAAGUCAGUGGUGAAAUCCCCGAGCUUAACUUGGGAACUGCCAUUGAUACUAUCAGUCUUGAAUACGGUGGAGGUCGACGGAAUAUGUCAUGUAGCGGUGAAAUGCUUAGAUAUGACAUAGAACACCAAUUGCGAAGGCAGUUGACUACGCCAGUAUUGACACUGAGGCACGAAAGCGUGGGGGAUCAAACAGG